UAGUUUGCGACCUCGAUGUUGGAUUAGGAUUCUUUUUUAGUGAAGAAAUUAAAGAGAAGAAGUUUGUUCAACUUUUAAACUCCUACAUGAUCUGAGUUCAGACCGGCGUGAGCCAGGUUGGUUUCUAUCUUAAUUAAAAAUAUGUUUAUUUUUUUAGUACGAAAGGAAUAGGAAAUAUUAAUUUAAUUAAAUUAAUAGUUUAAAUUUAUUAAAUUAG
rnacentral:rRNA from 1 species